rnacentral:rRNA from 1 species
AUUGAACGCUGGCGGCAGGCCUAACACAUGCAAGUCGAGCGGUUGACGGGAGCUUGCUCCCUGAUUCAGCGGCGGACGGGUGAGUAAUGCCUAGGAAUCUGCCUAUUAGUGGGGGACAACGUUUCGAAAGGAACGCUAAUACCGCAUACGUCCUACGGGAGAAAGCAGGGGACCUUCGGGCCUUGCGCUAAUAGAUGAGCCUAGGUCGGAUUAGCCUGUUGGUGAGGUAAUGGCUCACCAAGGCGACGAUCCGUAACUGGUCUGAGAGGAUGAUCAGUCACACUGGAACGGUGACACGGUCCAGACUCCUCCGGGAGGCAGCAGUGGGGAAUAUUGGACAAUGGGCGAAAGCCUGAUCCAGCCAUGCCGCGUGUGUGAAGAAGGUCUUCGGAUUGUAAAGCACUUUAAGUUGGGAGGAAGGGUUGUAGAUUAAUACUCUGCAAUUUUGGCGUUACCGACAGAAUAAGCACCGGCUAACUCUGUGCCAGCCGCCGCCGUAA